UGGGGAAUUUUGGACAAUGGGCGCAAGCCUGAUCCAGCCAUGCCGCGUGAGUGAAGAAGGCCUUCGGGUUGUAAAGCUCUUUCGGCGGGGACGAAACGGUUCGUGACAACACCACGGACUAAUGACGGUACCCGCAUAAGAAGCACCGGCUAACUACGUGCCAGCAGCCGCGGUAAUACGUAGGGUGCAGGCGUUAAUCGGAAUUACUGGGCGUAAAGCGUGCGCAGGCGGUUGUGUAAGUCAGAUGUGAAAUCCCCGGGCUCAACCUGGGAAUUGCAUUUGAGACUGCACGGCUAGAGUGUGUCAGAGGGGGGUAGAAUUCCACGUGUAGCAGUGAAAUGCGUAGAUAUGUGGAGGAAUACCGAUGGCGAAGGCAGCCCCCUGGGAUAACACUGACGCUCAUGCACGAAAGCGUGGGGAGCAAACAGGAUUAGAUACCCCAGUAGUCCCUGAGCGGGCUGGCAAGGCGCAU
rnacentral:rRNA from 1 species